AAGAUUUCAUCAGACACUGAAUCUGCUGGGGACUUAAUCUUGGAGUUUCCAGUCUCCAGAAUUAUAAGAAAUAAAUUUCUAUUAUUUAUAAAUUAACCAAUCUAAGGUAUUCUGUUUAGCAGCCCGAAUAAUGGACUAAGACAGACGCCUAACAUAUGAUCUAUCCUAGAUAAUGCUCUCUUCGCAUUCAGGAAGAAUGUAUAUUCUGCUUCUGAAUGGAAAAAAACAAAAUCAGGAUCAGGCACGGUGGCGCAUAAGGCCAGGAGUUUGAGACGUCUAGGCAACACAGCAAGAUCCAUUUGGUCCAAAGUGAGAUUCCAGUGUUUCCUCCAGAAAGGCACAUUAUUCCUCCACCAUGGUCUUCUUUUUCCUGUGUACCUUGACCCUGUAGGAGAUGAGACUUCUAAAGUGAUUCCUUUCCCUCUUUUCUCCUCAUCACCCCUUCCCACUCUCUAAGGUUUUCAGGUGCUGGUUCCAUGGCUCUUCCUGAGCCGAAAAUAAGGAAACUCCAUAGACCUUGUCCACUGGAACUCGUUCCCAUCUACCCUCCACUCUAUCCAGGGUGAUGGAUCUCUGCAGUAAGUGGAAGAGUUCUUCAUGGCCCCCAAGGUUAUAUCCAUCUAGAACUUCAGCACGUAAUUUCAUCUGGAAAUAGUGCCUUUGCGGAUAUAAGUUAGGUAAAACUGAAGAUGAGAUCAUACUGGAUUAGGAUGGGAUCUAAAUCCAAUGAAAAUGUCUUCAUAAAAAACAGGAAAGAACCCAUAGAAACACAAGGAAGAAGGUCAUGUGAAGAUGGAGGCAGAGAUUGGAGGGAUGCAGCCACCGGCCCAGGAAUGCCAGCAGCCACCCAGAAGCUGGAAGGAAAUGAGGGAUUCUCUCCUAGAACCUUUAGAGAGAACAUGGUCCUGUGAACAGCUUGAUUUUGGACUUGCCCAUAGCUUGUAUACUCUUACUUUGGAUACAAUUUUAUCCAAACUUGGCUAAACAGUUUCUCAGCCUAUGGAAAAUUUAAAAUGGAGAAGAUUCAACUCGAUUCUUACAGAUUCAAAGCAAGAAAAUGAUGGGAACAUAGGAGGAGACCAAGAAAGCCUAUAAAAAGCAAAAAUAUGAAGUGAACAUUGUGGUAGCUUUAAGAUGUUUAGUGUAGCUGCAGGCACCCUAUACACAUGAAAACCCCCAAGGGGAAUCCCCAUAUCACAGUGUAGUGUGAUAUUUGACAUUCGUGAUCAUCUAGAGAUGUACAGAAAAGGUGAAUCUGUGUUCUGUAUAUUCUGCCUAAGGCAAAGAAAUGUUUAGCUCUCUUUAAAAUAGUUCCAUAAUUUUUUCUAAAAAGCUUUGCUUGAAAACUGUAAGCUUCCCAUAUCUGGAGCAUUUCACUUUAAAUAUUUGGAUAAAUAUGUUAUCUUCUUACUUGGACAUUUCAUGUGUUUAGGGAUUGUCUUCUAAAUUCUUCCUAAUUCAUAUAGCUGCUAACACUUCCCGCAGAGCUAAACCAUUACAGAUAUGAAAUAAAGACCUAUUGAUUUGAC
rnacentral:lncRNA from 1 species